rnacentral:rRNA from 1 species
CACGUAGUUAGCCGGAGCUUAUUCUUCAGGUACCGUCAUUGACUUCUUCCCUGACUAAAGAACUUUACAAUCCGAAGACCUUCUUCAUUCACGCGGCAUUGCUGGGUCAGAGUUUCCUCCACUGCCCAAUAUUCCCCACUGCUGCCUCCCGUAGGAGUCUGGGCCGUAUCUCAGUCCCAAUGUGGCCGAUCACCCUCUCAGGUCGGCUACGCAUCGUCGCCUUGGUGGGCCGUUACCUCACCAACUAGCUAAUGCGACGCGAGUCCAUCUCAUACCAGGUUGCCCCUUUUACCCUCUACCAUGCGGUAGUGUGGUCUUAUACCGUAUUAACCGAAGUUUCCCUCGGGUAUCCCGUUGUAUGAGGCAGGUUACUCACGCGUUACUCACCCGUUCGCCACUAGGAUAUUGCUAUCCCCCGUUGACUUGCAUGUGUUAGGCAUGCCGCCAGCGUUGUCCUGAGCACGGAGUCAAACGUACUACUGAGACGUGUCCGAAGGCCGACACCGAAGGGGA